UACGUAGGGCGCAAGCGUUAUCCGGAAUUAUUGGGCGUAAAGGGCUCGUAGGUGGUUUGUCGCGUUGUUCGUGAAAACUCACAGCUUAACUGUGGGCGUGCGGGCGAUACGGGCAGACUUGAGUACUGCAGGGGAGACUGGAAUUCCUGGUGUAGCGGUGGAAUGCGCAGAUAUCAGGAGGAACACCGGUGGCGAAGGCGGGUCUCUGGGCAGUAACUGACGCUGAGGAGCGAAAGCGUGGGUAGCAAACAGG
rnacentral:rRNA from 1 species